rnacentral:tRNA from 1 species
GGCAGGGUGGUAUAGUGGUUAAGGUGUUGGACUAGGACUUGGGAAACCCGGGUUCAAAUCCCCACUCGUGCCA